GAACACCUACGGGGCGCAGCAGUGAGGAAUAUUGGUCAAUGGCCGCAUGGCUGAACCAGCCACGUCGCGUGAGGGAUGACGGUCCUAUGGAUUGUAAACCUCUUUUGUCAGGGAGCAAAGGGCGCCACGUGUGGCGUUUUGCGAGUACCUGAAGAAAAAGCAUCGGCUAACUCCGUGCCAGCAGCCGCGGUAAUACGGAGGAUGCGAGCGUUAUCCGGAUUUAUUGGGUUUAAAGGGUGCGCAGGCGGAAUGUCAAGUCAGCUGUAAAAUUUCGGGGCUCAACCCCGUCGUGCGUUUGAAACUGG
rnacentral:rRNA from 1 species